rnacentral:rRNA from 1 species
UACGAAGGGGGCUAGCGUUGUUCGGAAUUACUGGGCGUAAAGCGUACGUAGGCGGAUUGUUAAGUGAGGGGUGAAAUCCCGAGGCUCAACCUCGGAACUGCCUUUCAUACUGGCAAUCUUGAGUCCGGGAGAGGUGAGUGGAACUCCUAGUGUAGAGGUGAAAUUCGUAGAUAUUAGGAAGAACACCAGUGGCGAAGGCG